GAUAUGCUUGUCUUAAAGAUUAAGCCAUGCAUGUAUCAGUACAAGCCAAACUAAGGUGAAACCGCGAAUGGCUCAUUAAAUCAGUUAUUAUUUACUGGCCGAGACAGUGAUACAUGGAUAACUGUGGUAAUUCUAGAGCUAAUACAUGCAACCGAGCCCCAGUCCUGGCUCUCGGGCCAGGCGGGGCGCUUUUAUUGGCUGAAAACCGAUGAUCGCCCUCGUGGCGGUCGUUAUUCGAUGAAUCACAAUAACAUUGUGUGGAUCGUAUGGUCUUGUACCGACGACGCGCCUUUCAAAUAUCUGCCUUAUCAGCUCUCGACGGUUUGCUAGUGGCUGACCGUGGCUCUGACGGGUAACGGGGAAUCUGGGUUCGGUUCCGGAGAGGGAGCCUGAGAGAUGGCUACCACAUCUAAGGAAGGCAGCAGGCGCGUAACUUACCCACUCCCAGUUCAGGGAGGUAGUGACAAUAAAUACCUUACAGAGGUCUCGUUAACCGAGAUCUCUCAAACGGAAUGAGUACAACGUGAAUCCUUUAACGAGGAUCGACUGGAGGGCAAGCCUGGUGCCAGCAGCCGCGGUAAUUCCAGCUCCAGUAGCGUAUAUUAAAGCUGU
rnacentral:rRNA from 1 species